AGUUAUCCCGCCUGAUGUCGCGAUGGUGUGUACAGUGGAGUUUGGUGUUCGUUAAGUCGACCAUUUUUUCAAACGAAUAGAAUAAUUGAAAUAAAAAUGAAAAUUAAUUAAAAGUAAAGAAAUAUUUCGAGUUGAAGUGUUACGAAAAGUAGUAUUGUCCAUGUGGUUAAUGCUGAGAAGUAUUUACGUGAAGCCAAAUGUUAAUUCGGUAAAAUAUGUACGCGCUACAGCCAGUGCCACAAUAUAGACGUCGUUCUUACUUCUUGCACACCGCUAACUCAGUUACCUAAUAAUUAAUUACGACCUGUUCCUCGAAGAGAAGAAAAUAUUUGGAAGAAGCAUUUUAGAGAUUACGAAAAUGGAAUCUCUUUAUUCAAAAGGGCCCAAUGUGUUUGAUAUUUGAAAUACGUAUUUAACGAAAUUCCUCAAUAGAUGUGGAGGAAAACAGUUGGAUCGAGCUUAUAGAUUUAUUCAUCUAAGUUUUUGGAACAUUGCCCUCCAAAAUUUGCCAGAAGCCAACAUGAUAUCCGCACUUAGAUGUUAGCAGCUGCCGCGAACGUAUCUUAAUACCGUUUCCCGUUCCGAUCUGGCAUGGCACUAAAGAUGGUACAUGACAUACCUUAUACCUACGAGUAUGAAGGUUGGAGGCAUAGGCAGCCAAAAUAUCAGCCACAGAUGGUGAAAUAAUAGAUAAAUUUUCUAAAUAUUUUGUAUGAGUGACAAUAUGCUGUAUACUUAUGUAGUUUUACCUGAAGGUUGUUGCAACUGAUAUUAUCCUUCGUUUAAACACCUCGUGUUUUGAUCGUAUUUUCAAAUCGAGCAUAUGCUUUGAAAUCAUGAUGAACAUUUUGAAUGUAAAAAUUGUGAGAAAAACACGAAGUUGGCUUGAUUUUCGAAACAAAUGUAAGUUUUACUUUCAAAACUUGUGGGUGAAUAAUUUCAAAUUUGCCUGUGAUAAGUUUCUUCAUAAGUAUAGGUAGUAUUUUUCUUAUGCCAGAUUGAUACAACGGCUCUUGCAACUGUCUCAUAGAGUGCAGUUAGCUCUGUGAAAAAAAAAUAAGAAAAAAAUGAAUUAUCAUUAUAUUCUUUAGAAAAACAUGUUUAUUUAGAGAUGAUGGGGGUUAUUGAUUCCUAGUAUACCUAUUUUCUUGCAUCAGGCCUAGAUCUGAUUGAAUGCUUAAAUGUACCUAAUCAUUAAAAUGAAAAAUUAUUGAAUAAAUUCAACACUACACUAUACAAAAAAUUAAUGUAAAAAUAUUUCAUUCGUCUCAAUUCCAAGUUGUUGAUAAUUUUGGAAUCUUGAUAAAAUUCUGUUCCAUUUCUUCCUACCUAGUUAUCCUUGAAAUUUUCUUUAGUUUGAUUAAUCGUUAAUCAUUCUACAGAAAUCAAAUUUAACGAAAGAUUAAAAAAUUGUCUUACCUUAAUGUUUAGUGCUUCUGAAGCAGUUUCUACUAAGAUUUCUUUGAUACCAGGACAACAUGCAACUUCAGAGGAGCAUUUAUAUUAAGUGAGCAAACUGCUAACAUAGAUAUUACAAAUAGGUAACGUGUCAGUUUCUUUUCAUCUUAUAUCGGGUUUUAUUCUAAACAUUUCCAUUGUUGUGGUACCAAUGACGAAUCCUUGAUUAGAUUUUUUCAAAAUGUAGAAUGGUAUCUUGAGUUCGUACUCACCAAAUUUGAGUAUCUGCCAAGUGGCACACAAGUGGCUUGUUCAGCAUAAAGUCCACCAUAGACUCUAGUGUUGUAUAUGCCAUAGCCGAACUGUAAUCUAAUUUCUAACACUUGUCUUUUUUAUUUCAAAAAAAUUCAAAAAUCUCAUUUAAUUGAUCGCAAAUUUCUUGUAAAGUUGUUUUAAUAGUCUCUUUAUUAUUAAAAUCAAUAUUAUUCUAAGGUAACUACUGCACAAUCUUUAACUGGGUAGAUAGCUUAAAAUUUAAACCCUUAAUAAUUGUCCUAUAAUACAAUGAUAAGCAUUUCUUAAAUUCCCUUCAUACUUCUUCAUUAGGAAUUUGUGUAGAAGUUUUUUUAGAUCUUUGUUGAUUUUUGAAAAUGUAAGAUAACCUUGUUCUUGCAAAAAAUUGAACAAUAAGCUGAUAUUACUGAGCUCAACAUUUGGGUGUUCACUGAGCUACUUUUUAGUUCUACUAUUUGGCUCACGUGUACAUUUUCAAAUAGAUCAAUUUUACAGCAUUAUCAUUCUUACUCAACAGUUUCAUAAUCCAAAAUUGUAUUACUGAAUUUUUGAAAAUAGUAAGCUGUACAGUGAUUAAUGGGGACAAUUUGUAGCCCAACUGACUCCAGAUGUGUGUGAAAUACGGCUAGUACACAUCAUUCUACACAAUAAAUUAAAUUAAAUGAAAUUAAAAAUUUAUCUUAAAACUAAAAAGAACAUACAAUAAGAUUCAUACUGAGUGGAUUUGAUUUUCCAAAUUGUCUAGAAUUGAUGAACACUUACUCCUAUUUAUCUAGAUUGUUGAAUAAAAUGGACACAGUUCUUUGCUCAGAACUCAUAGUCAUACCUGCUAGACUGUGAUAUGUAGGUAACUGCUAUGUAGUCUGGAUUGUAAUUAAAAUUAUUAAAAAUAUGUUAGUGCAAUAAUUAUUAUUCAAAAUUUGAAAGACUUAAUGGGGGUUAUUGAUUCCUAGUAUAUUUUCUUGCAUCAGGCCUAGAUCUGAUUGAAUACUUAAACGUACCCAAUCAUUCAAAUGAAAAAUUAUUGAAUAAAUUCAACGCUACACUGUACAAAAAAUUAAUGUAAAAAUAUUUCAUUCGUCUCAAUUCCAUGUUGUCGAUAAUUUUGGAACUUGAUAAAAUUCUGUUCCAUUAUUCUCAGUAAUCCUUGAAAUUUUCUUUAGUUUGAUUAAUCAUUGAUCAUUCUACAGAAAUCAAAUUUAACGAAAGAUUAAAAAAUUGUCUUACCUUGUUUAGUUCAACUUGUACUUGCCAACAGACUUAGACUCAAAAAUCUCAUUUAAUUGAUUGCAAAUUUCAUGUAACGUUGUUUUCAGCAUCUCUUCAUUAUUAAAAUCAAUAUUAUUCCAAGGUACCUACUGCACAAUCUUUAACUGGGUAGGUAGCUUAAAAUUUAAACUCUUAAUAAUUUUGCUAUAGUACAAUGAGGAAUGCUUCUUGAAUUCCCUUCACACUUCUUCAUUAGGAAUUUAUAUAAAAGUUUUUUUUUGAUCUUUGUUGAUUUUUUGAAAAUGUAAGAUAACCUUGUUCUUGCAAAAAAUUGAACAAUAAGCUGAGAUUAUUGAGCUCAUCAUUUGGGUGUUCACUGAGCUACUUUAAUUCUACUAUUUGGCUCACAUGUACAUUUUCAAAUAGAUCAAUUUUACAGCAUUAUCAUUCUCACUCAACAGUUUCAUAAUGUAAGAUUUUAUCACUGAACUUACAAAAACAGUAAGCUGCAUAUUGAUUAAUGGGGACAAUUUAUUGUAGCCCAACCAACUCCAGAUGUGUGUGAAAUACGGCUAGUACACAUCAUUCUAUAGAAAUUAAAUUAAAUUAAAAAUAUCUUAAAACAAAAAAAAACAUGAAGUAAAAUUCCUACUCAGUGGAUUUGAUUUUCUAAAUUGUCUAGAAUUGAUGAACACUUAAUUCUAUCAAUCUAGAUUGUUGAAUAAAACAGACACAGUUGUUCUUGCUCAGAACUCAUAACCAUACCUGCUAGAAUGCGAUAUGUAGGUAACCGCUAUGUUGUCUGGGUUGUAAUUAAAACGAUUAAAAUAAUGUUAGAAUGAAAUUGAUAGGUCAAAAUUUUUUUCACAUUUCACAAAAAUCUGGAUUCUUGAAAAAUUUUCCGGUGGAACGUUGUGAUGUGAUUUAUUUUUAAUACAGAAAAGUGCUACCGUUUUUGAAUCGAUCGAGACAUUUUAGUACCUAGGUAAUUAUUCAAGGUACUUAUAGUUAUGAUUUUUCAAAGUUCAAAGUUAUAGGGUAGCCUAAUAUGGACUACCUGUACAUUUGCUAUGGAUUUGACAAUUUCAAGUUGAAGUAGUCCAUAUUAGGGACCCUAAAUUAACUUUUCAAAUUUUGACUCUUUUCAGGAAAAAAAUUAUUUUGAGCCACUUGGAAUUUACUCUUAUUGUCUUAAUUAAACAUAUUCUGACGGCAUUUCAGCAAUUGAACGUAUUUUUACAACAUUGUAGCCUUUUUUAAAAUAAAAUUUCAAAGUAGUCCAUAUUUAAGAACUCAAAAUUGAAUUUUAAAUUUUUGACACUUUUCAGAAAACAAUUUUUUUGACCCACUUAAAAUUUCUGAAAACUUUUACGUAUUUGGUAUAAUAUGAUAGUAGACAGAUGUAGGUACAUUUUAAGCUAUCAACGAAAUUUUCAGCUCAAUUACAGCGGUCACCCCAUUCAAAAACAAAAAUGUGGUCCAUAUUGGGCACCCUUAUCCUUAUUUUCUUGUAUCAGGCCCAGAUCUGAUUGAACACUUAAGGGUAGUCAAUAAUCAUUAAAAUGAAAAAUUAUUGAAUAAUUCAACACUAGGUACACUACAUAUACAAAAAAUUAAUAUAAAAAUAUUUCAUUUGUCUCAAUUCCAAGUAGUCAACAAUUUUGGAAUCCUGAUAUAAUUCUGUUCCAUUUUUUGCAGUUAUGCUUGAAAUUUUCUUUAAUUUGAUUAAGUAAUCAUUCUACAGAAAUAAAAUUUAACGAAAGAUUAAAAAUGUCUUACCAUACCUUGUUUAGGAGCAUUUAUAUUUAACUGUUUGCGCACUGCACAUAUAGGUAAAACAUUAUGUGAUGAACAUGAAAUCAUGCCUCAUUUGUCUUUUCUACAGACUCAUUGUCAGACUCGAAAAUCUCAAGUUUGUUUUAGAUCGUUGCUGAUUUUAGAAAAAGUAAGAUAACCUUGUUCUUGCAAAAAAUUGAACAAUAAGCUGAUAUUACUGAGCUCAACAUUUGGGUGUUCACUAAGCUACUUUAAUUCUACUAUUUGGCUCACAUGUACAUUUUCAAAUAGAUCAAUUUUACAUCAUUAUCAUUCUCACUGAACAGUUUCAUAAUUCAAGAUUUUAUCACUGAACUUAAAAAAACAGUAAGCUGUACAUACAGUGAUUAAUGGGGACAAUUUGUAGCCCAACCAACUCCAGAUGUGUGUGAAAUAUGGCUAGUACACAUCAUUCUAUAGAAAUUAAAUUAAAUUAAAAAUGUGUAUCUUAAAACAAAAAAACCUGAAGUAAAAUUCCUACUGAGUGCCAGAGUGGAUUUAAUUUUCUAAAUUGUCUAGAAUUGAUGAACACUUAAUUCUAUUUAUCUAGAUUGUUGAAUAAAACAGACACUCAACGCCUGUGAUAAGCUUCUUCAUUUUAUCUUUCUUAUGUAAGAUUAAUACUCGUACAACGGCUCCUGCAGCUGUCUCAUAGAGUGCAGCUAGCUCUGUGAAAAAAAAAUGAGAAAAAAAUGAAUCAUUAUUUAUUUAUUCUUUAGAAAAACAUGUUUAUUUAGAGAUGAUGAGUUGUUGAUUCCUAGUAUACUUAGGGGCCCAGAUCUGAUUGAAUACUUAAGAGUAAUCAAUAAUCAUUAAAAUGAAAAAAUUAUUGAAUAAUUCAAUACUACACUAUAAGUACAAAAAAUUGAUAAAUAUUUCAUUUAUCUCAAUUCCCAGUUGUCAAAAAUUUUGGAAUCCUGAUAUAAUUCUAUUCCAUUUUUUCAGUUAUCCUUGAAAUUUUCUUUAGUUUGAUUAAUCAUACUACAGAAAUCAAAUUUAACGAAAGGUUGAAAACGUCUUACCUUAUUUAGUGCUAUGUUAAAAAAAGUAAGAUAACCUUGUUCUUGCAAAAAAUUGAACAAUAAGCUGAUAUUACUGAGCUCAAUAUUUGGGUGUUCACUGAGCUACCGUAAGUCUUUAAUUCUACUAUAUGGCUCAUGUGUACAUUUUCAAAUAGAUCAAUUUUACAGCAUUAUCAUUCUCACUCAGUUUCAUAAUCCAAAAUUUUAUCACUGAACUUACAAAAACAGUAAGCCGCACAGAGAUUAGUGGGAACAAUUUGUAGCCCAACUGACUCCAGAUGUGUGUGAAAUACGGCUAGUACACAUCAUUCUAUAUAAAUUACUUAAAUUAAAUUAAGUAAAAAUAUCUUAAAACAAAAAAAACUUAAAGUAAGAUUCCUACUGAGAGGAUUUGAUUUUCUAAAUUGUCUAGAAUUGAUGAACACUUAAUUCUAUCCAUCUAGAUUGUUGAAUAAAACAGACACAGUUGUUCUUUGCUCAGAACUCAUAGCCAUAUCUGCUAGAAUGUGAUAUGUAGGUAACUGCUAUGUUGUCUGGGUUGUAAUUAAAAUUAUUAAAAAUAUGUUAGUGUAAUAAUUUUUAUUCAAAAUUUGAAAUGCUUACCUACCUAAUCCUUCUUUGGGAUUUUUUUGUACUCCAGGAUAAGCCUGAAAUUAGGUUUUAGCAAUAACAGGUCCAACCUUUGGGUGUCCUUUUUAUCAGACCUGAUUUCCAAAUAACAUUUGAACAAUGCAAUAUUGUUAUGAAAAUAAUGUGAUUGUAUGUAAUGUAGAUAGCUUAGUUUUAUGAACAUAAAUUACACAAUAAUAAUUAAUAGUGAUAUUGUAUCUGUUAAAGUGAUAAUUUCUUACACUUUCACCUAUGUGAAUGCUUGUUCUAUUUUCUAACACAAAACUGAAUUCAAAGGUGAUUUUUUUUACUUAUAAUGUAGGGCAGGUCAGGAGAAUCAAACUUAAAAUCAUUACAGCUCAAUAACUGAGGGACUUUUUUGUAAAACUUGGGAUUUUAUUAGUUUUUGGAUAGUCUGUAACAAAAAUGAUGAAUAAUGAUUGUUUUCUAAAUUGAGAAGAGAAGUAAUGUUUUUCUAAGUUGGAAACACUGUGUACCAAAAAACAAAGUACACAGAGUACUACCUUACAGAGAUUAGAUCCUGCCUCCUGGACUUUACUGCUUCAUUCAUUUUAUUCUUUCUAGAGCUACAUCCUGCAUUCUAGACAUCCUGUUUUAAUUCGAAUAAAUCAAUUACCUACUUCAGGCAAUCUAAUUAUGCUAUGCGAUCUUCCCAAAGUGGUUGUACUUAGUUCAAGUGAUGUGCUCAUAGAAGGAUUACUUCUAAACCUAGGUACAUCCAGUAUAACAAUAUAGAGAUUAGGUACUAUAUUAAAUUUCAGUUAGGUAAAUAGGUACUAGGAUGUGGCAGUCUUCCUCAUGCUAAAAUAGAGAUGAAUGAUUUCUAGUAUUUUUUCUUGUAUUUUUGGCACAGUUUUAAUAGAAUAAGGAUAAUUAUAUAAAUAAAGAAAGUAUUAAAUAAUUCAACAUUAUGCAAACAAUUCACAUAAAAAUAUUCAAUUUCACAUGACACCAAAAUGGUAGUCAUUUUCUGAGAUUACCUAUAGGUACUACAGUUGUAAUUAUUUUAUCUUUAGUAAAUUUACAAAACAGCGAAAACAGACCUAGGAAUUGAGUGGGGAAAAACUUUGAUAAAAUCCACUUUCUGGGAGUACCUGUGUAAUGCUAAAUGAUCAAUUCAUCUCUUUCAUCAAAGAUUAUCAGCAGCUCAACUGAUUCAGAAUUGAUGAAAUCCACUUUCUGGGUGUACCUAGUACCUACCUGUGAUAACAUUACACAGGUACACCCAGAAAGUGGAUUUUAUCAGUUCUAAACCAGUUGAGCUGCUGAUAAUCUUUGAUGAAAGAGAUGAGUUGGUCAAUUUUAUUAUCCUUGAUUUUUUUUUAAAUAUUUGGCCAUCAUACCAUAUUUCUUCUGUGAUCUGCAUUGUUUUUCCAAUAUAAAUUUGUGGCCUUGAAUGAGCUAUGUAAGUAACAGUGAGAAGCAUACAUGAUCGACAUCUAAAGUUGAAUUGCCAACUGGGCUUACCAUAAAGAUUAAAGCUUGAAACAAAAGUUGUGGAGUAUGAAAAAUUGAACUACUUUUGCUAAUUAAGUUUUCAAACUCGUUUAUGAGUCUGCAACCAGUUAUUAAAAAUUGCCUAUUGGCAAAUUAAUGAACUAGUUUCAAAAUCCAAUUAAUGAAAAUAGUUGAAUAUUCACUCUCUAUUGCUUUCAUUUCAAGCUUUUUUCUCAAUCUCCAAUUUUUAGGUGAUUGCCAAAAACUGAUUGCUUAAAUGUGAACCAAUGAAUUGGUUUCAAAUUGUAAUCAGACAGACAACAGAACAACUUGUAUUUUGAGGUUUUUUCAUUUCAAUCUCCAACUUUUGGGUAGUUUUUGAUAACUAGUUUCAAAUUAAAGAAGCAGUUUCAAAAAAUCCAAUGUUUAGCCAUUCUUUUAUGCGGCAAAUAUAGCUUGUAAAUUGUUCUAUAUAGUUGAAUUAAAUUUAACAAAAAAUUAAAAAUGUCUUGAAACAAAAAACAGCAAAGGAAAAUUACUUACUUAUUCCUAUAGAAUCUUGAUAGUGAUGUCAGCAUGACCAUGAAAAAUAAUAACGCAAUAAGUACAUAUUAUCCAUACCACUUAGGUAGGGCUCAUCAUAUGUUUCCUCCUACAAGAAUAGGACUCACCUAAAAACUGAUAGGAAAAUCCAUCCCAAUGCAUACAACCUUCUAUCCAGAUGAACAAAUGCUUCUCCACCAAAAGUAUAAAAACUUUGGCAUUAGUAGACGUUUCACAGAUUAUUUCUGAGAAAUUACAGUGUGAAACACCUAGGCCAGAACUUGUGAAUUCUAUCCCAUUGUCAAACUUCAAAAAAGAAUCUUGCAGGGAAUCCAUCUGCAAAAAUAAUAUAAUUUCAAAGUAUUUCUGAUCAAUAUGUGAUAUAUUAAGUAUUUAGAAAUAAUUCUGGCUUUUGAUUACAUAGAACUUUUCAUUAAUCAUUUUUUGUUCAAAUAAUGCUCUUCAAAAUGAACACUUAUUUAAUUUAUAAUCAUAAAGUUUUUUAUUAUUUUUCAUUUUUAUACGUACACUACAUAGCCUGUGGGUGUGUACAAAUUACAAUUUACAAGUAGGUACAUUAGAUUAGGUGGUUUGAAUCACUAGUAUCUUCUGUUGAUUUUAACUAUGAUAGGGUGCCUAUAUUUAUAAAUUAUAUUUUUAUCAUAUUAAAAUAUUGAACAGUAAACAUUACCUUACCAUUUUGGUUGCAUAUUAGAAAUUAUUGUUAUCAUUUCUUUUAUAGUAGAUAGGAUGAAAACUUAUUUAGUGUACCUAUAGAAAAAUGAAAAAUUACAAUGGGACCUCCCACGAAAACAAACAAACAGAUCCUUUGGAUGGCCGGUGGAUUUGGAGUAUAGGGCAAAACGCGAAUUUCAGGUUGCAUACUUGCACCCUUGGUUUUGUGGGCUAAACCUUACAAGUCUAGCUGUAAACAAUGCCGUUUACUUCUACAUUUCAGCUCGUCAAGUCACUUUUCUCGAGGAAGGCCUUUGCGGAUUUCAAAAAAUGUAGUACCGUUGGAAAGAGGACAAAAUCCUCUACAAUUUAGAGCCAUAAAAUAAUGGGGUCCUCGAGAUGGUUUAAAAGUUCUGUCGCCUCAAAGUUCAAAGUGUACAGAAAAAUAUGUUGAAUUGGCUACAUUUUUCAGCUCGUUAAGUCAAUUUCCUCAAGGAAGACCUUUGAGGAUUUCAAAAAAUGUAGUACCGUUGGAAAGAGGACAAAAUCCUCUACAAUUUAGAGCCAUAAAAUAAUGGGGUACUCGAGAUGGUUUAAAAGUUCUGUCGCCUCAAAGUUCAAAGUGUACAGAAAAAUAUGUUGAAUUGGCUACAUUUUUCAGCUCGUUAAGUCAAUUUCCUCAAGGAAGACCUUUGAGGAUUUCAAAAAAUGUAGUACCGUUGGAAAGAGGACAAAAUCCUCUACAAUUUAGAGCCAUAAAAUAAUGGGGUACUCGAGAUGGUUUAAAAGUUCUGUCGCCUCAAAGUUCAAAGUGUACAGAAAAAUAUGUUGAAUUGGCUACAUUUUUCAGCUCGUUAAGUCAAUUUCCUCAAGGAAGACCUUUGAGGAUUUCAAAAAAUUUAUUACCUUUGGAAAGGGCACAAAUUUCUCUGCAAUUUAGAGCCAUAAAAUAAUGGGGUCCUCGAGAUGGUUUAAAAGUUCUGUCGCCUCAAAGUUCAAAGUGUACAGAAAAAUAUGUUGAAUUGGCUACAUUUUUCAGCUCGUUAAGUCAAUUUCCUCAAGGAAGACCUUUGAGGAUUUCAAAAAAUUUAUUACCGUUGGAAAGGGCACAAAUUUCUCUACAAUUUAGAGCCAUAAAAUAAUGGGGUCCUCGAGAUGGUUUAAAAGUUCUGUCGCCUCAAAGUUCAAAGUGUACAGAAAAAUAUGUUGAAUUGGCUACAUUUUUCAGCUCGUUAAGUCAAUUUUCUCAAGAAAGACUUUUGAGGAUUUCAAAAAAUGUAGUACCGUUGGAAAGAGGACAAAAUCCUCUACAAUUUAGAGCCAUAAAAUAAUGGGGACCUCGAGAUGGUUUAAAAGUUCUGUCACCUCAAAGUUCAAAGUGUACAGAAAAAUAUGUUGAAUUGGCUACAUUUUUCAGCUCGUUAAGUCAAUUUCCUCAAGGAAGACCUUUGAGGAUUUUAAAAAAUUUAUUACCGUUGGAAAGGGCACAAAUUUCUCUACAAUUUAGAGCCAUAAAAUAAUAUGGUCCUCGAGAUGGUUUAAAAGUUCUAAUGCCUCAAAGUGCAAAGCUGACAGAACAAUGAGUUGAAUUUUGCCGCAUUUUUCUGCUCCUUAAGUCAAUUUUCUCUAGGAAGACCUUUGAGGAUUUCAAAAAAUUUAUUACCGUUGGAAAGGGCACAAAUUUCUCUACAAUUUAGAGCCAUAAAAUAAUGGGAUCCUCGAGAUGGUUUGAAAGUUUUGGCAUAUCAAAAUGCAAAGUGGACAGAACAAUCACUAGCAUGUAGCCCACAAUAUGUAAGGGGAAUCAAGAGAUACCACCAUUUAUACACCUUGUGACGUCAGGGCGUUUUGCCCUAUAGACAUUGUACCUGGGGGAAGACAACGAACUAGCGGCCAUAUUGGCUAAAUUAUGUGUGUCAUGCCAAUUUAUCCCGCUGGGUGCUCUUGGCUGCGCUGAUGUCGAAUUCUUGAACAAUACCAUGCCAUGCGAAGUACAGCGCGCGCAGCCAAGAGCGUCCGCUACCAUCCCUCUUCCCCAUUGCCUGCAAACUGACGUACAGCGCAGCCAAAAGCACCCAGCGGGAGAAAUUGCCAUGACACAAGAUUUUACUACUGUCCCUUUUCCCCUUUGCCUGCAGUUCGGUGUCUUACCCAGAGGGCACAGGUACAGUGUCUAUAAUUUGGAGAAUUGAAUUCACAGGCCUGUAUAACAGGAUCCUGAUUAAUUGGCGGCUUGCGAAUUUGGGGAAGCAAAUUCACAAGCUGCAUACCUAAUAUAUGUAUAUGCUGAUGCUCGGCCAGUGGCUGGUGGAGAUCGGGAUCAUAUUUCAAACAGCAGUUUUGAUUGCUAUUCGCACACGAGUUGACCCUCUCAAGGGUUGGCUUGUGGCUAAUAAGCAAUUUUUAUUAAGCAAUUUUUAUAAAAAUGAAGGUAACUAAGUUUCCUGUAUUGGACGACUACAUUUAGCCUCAAAUUGUGAGGUUGAAUCUCACCGUCACACUUAUUAACAUUUACAUGGGUGGAAUAAUAUGAAAAAAAAAUUACAUAUAGGUACCUACAGUAUCUACAUAUAUGUUAUAAUACCUAUCCAUUAAAAAUUAAGUUUUAAAAAACAUGUUGAUCUUUGAUGAAAGAGUUUGGUCAUUAUGGUCUUAGUUGUUUUUUUAAAAAUUAUUAUCUAUAAUUUAACCAAGGUAACCUAUUUCUUCUUUGAUCUGCCUUGUUUUCCUAUUAUAAAUGACUAAUUCUUGAUUAUGAAAAUUUUUGAAAAAAUAUUUGAGAUGGCCAACCAGAAGCUAUUGUAGUUUUUGAAUUUUUGGAGGAUUUGAAACUGGCAACUAUGCGAUUUGCCAUUGAAAAAGUGUGGCAACACUACCGAAUAUUCUCUCGUCAUUAUAUGUUGUUUGUAAUAUAAUUGUAGGUAUGUAUAAGCCUAUUUAAUGUCUUAUGCGGCGUAUGUGUUAUGCUUACGAUGUAAAUUUUCCGAAUAUACCUACUUGCAAUGCAUUCAGUUUUUUUUAAAAACAGCCCCUAAUGAGAUUACAUUGGUACCAUAACGUUGCAUAUUCUGUAUGAUUUAUUGAAUAUCUGUGAUCAAUUUAUAAAAUACUGCGUAUUUCGAUUGAUGUCUUAUAUGUAUGUGUAGAAUACAAGUUAUUUUUUAUUAAAGAAGAAUCUGCUAUCGUGCAUUCAGUGCAUGUAGGUACAAUGGUACAUGAUUAUUAUUAAUUUAUAUAAUACAUUUAUGUUCAUUUUUUCAAAAAUUUGUGAAAUUCGUAUUUUUUUUCAACACAAUGUAUGAAAUGUGUACUCUUGUUGUUUUCAGUGAAAACGAAAUAAAUUACAAGCAUUUUAGUGAUAAA